UACAGGGGGUGCAAACGUUGCUCGGAAUCAUUGGGCGUAAAGCGCACGUAGGCGGUUCGUUAUGUCGGAUGUGAAAGCCCUUGGCUCAACUGAGGAAGUGCAUCCGAAACUGGCAGGCUAGAGUACGAAAGAGGAUCGCGGAAUUCCCGGUGUAGAGGUGAAAUUCGUAGAUAUCGGGAGGAACACCGGUGGCGAAGGCGGCGAUCUGGGUCGAUACUGACGCUGAGGUGCGAAAGCGUGGGGAGCAAACAGG
rnacentral:rRNA from 1 species